rnacentral:rRNA from 1 species
GACAGAGGUCCCGAGCGUUAGGCGGAAUCACUGGGCUUAAAGCGUGUGUAGGCGGAUCGUUAAGUGCCUUGUGAAAUCCCACGGCUUAACCGUGGAACUGCUUGGCAUACUGGCGGUCUUGAGCCACCUAGGGGCAACCGGAACAAACGGUGGAGCGGUGAAAUGCGUAGAUAUCAUUUGGAACGCCAAUGGUGAAAACAGGUUGCUGGGGGUGUGCUGACGCUGAGACACGAAAGCCAGGGGAGCGAACGGG